CCCUCUCCGCCGUGUCGCGCCUUCUCCCGCGCCUCUUCUCUCCCUCUUGAGGAAAGCACCGCCGAGCGGCUCGCGGAGGUCCUCAGUAUCGUGCCUAGGCUCUACGCGUACCCCGUGACUCUCUCUCUCUCGUUCCGUUUGUUCGGUGAACCAGCCCGCUCUGCUGCGCGUAAUCCGAGAGAUCACGCGCGCCGCGUCGCGCCGGUGCAUCUCGCGAGAGGGCGCGUUGCCGACCAGAGAGAGGUGCCCUUCGCUCGCGCUCGUAGAAGUCGAAUAAAUGUCGCGCGCAAUAUUCGUCGAGUAUUCUUACUUAAUCGGAGAACGGCUGUUUUACGACGGUGAUUUAAAUUGAUUCACGUAGUAGUGAGCAAUUUAAUAAGACGAGAAGUGGUUCGCGUGCUGAAUCACGAGACGUUUGGUCGGCACGUUGGGGUGAGCUUCCGGAAACAACUGAUACUGAUACAUCGCAUCGUUCAACCGAGCCGGUCUCUCACGAGCCGUUUCCAAGAGUUCGAGAAACUUCAGC